UACAGAGGGUGCAAGCGUUGUUCGGAAUUACUGGGCGUAAAGCGUCGUAGACGGUUAUUUAAGUCAGGUGUGAAAUCCCCGGGCUCAACCUGGGAACUGCAUUUGUGACUGCAUGGCUAGAGUACGGCAGAGGGGGAUGGAAUUCCGCGUGUAGCAGUGAAAUGCGUAGAUAUGCGGAGGAACACCGAUGGCGAAGGCAAUCCCCUGGGCCUGUACUGACGCUCCAUGCACGAAAGCGUGGGGAGCAAACAGG
rnacentral:rRNA from 1 species